CCUACGGGAGGCAGCAGUGGGGAAUAUUGGACAAUGGGGGCAACCCUGAUCCAGCCAUGCCGCGUGUGUGAAGAAGGCCCUCGGGUUGUAAAGCACUUUCAGUGAGGAAGAACGCCUGGUGGUUAAUACCCAUCAGGAAAGACAUCACUCACAGAAGAAGCACCGGCUAACUCCGUGCCAGCAGCCGCGGUAAUACGGAGGGUGCGAGCGUUAAUCGGAAUUACUGGGCGUAAAGCGCGCGUAGGUGGCUUGAUAAGCCGGUUGUGAAAGCCCCGGGCUCAACCUGGGAACGGCAUCCGGAACUGGCAAGCUAGAGUGCAGGAGAGGAAGGUAGAAUUCCCGGUGUAGCGGUGAAAUGCGUAGAGAUCGGGAGGAAUACCAGUGGCGAAGGCGGCCUUCUGGACUGACACUGACACUGAGGUGCGAAAGCGUGGGUAGCAAACAGGAUUAGAUACCCGAGUAGUC
rnacentral:rRNA from 1 species